ensembl:lncRNA
UAAAUUUUUAAAGUGAAAUAACUUAAAGAAUGCAAGAAUAGUGAGCAAUAUUUAUACUCAAUAUUCAUAUUAUGUUAAUGAUAUAAGUAGGAAAUCCUUGUCUACCAAAACUUUUACUUGAAUUCAGAAAGGUGCCUGUAGAAUUAACAUGUGCUAUAUCUAGCCAGCUAGCUAAUCAGGAGCUAAUGAGAAACAGUAGUUAUCUCUCCGAGUAAAAGAGGGUAAGUGUUCUUUAUCUAUUUGAAGUAAAAACUUAAUCAGGUUAACCACAAACAAAAGUCAUAAAAUUGAGUUGUACAUUGGAUUACCAAAUAUUUUAUAUGCUAGUUAUGCUGCAGGAUAUACUGUCCAGUGAACAAAAUUCUAAUAACAUUAGAAACAUUUAAAAGACCUAAAUAUACAGUAUAGGCUUAAAUAACUCUUAGGAUGUGGGUUGAGAUUCUAGAGCCACCAUAGGUGAAACAAUGCAAAACUUUGUGAUGGAAUGAUGUAAUAUCAGAUUCCUAGGUAUACCCUUCCAGUCCUACCAAUGUGAUACUUGAUGCAAAAAAAAACCCAACAACUAAUAUUAGAAAAGGGUCGCAGGACUCAAUGGUAGAAUAUUCCCUGUCAUGCACAAGACCACCCUGUAUUUAAUUCUCAGCAGAGCAAAAAAAAGGGGAUAUAAUUUCUGUGAAAAUAAGAUUUGAUUCUGGGGAUAGAAAAACAUUUCAUAAACAUAGUUACCAAGGAAGAGAUUAAUAUUUGUCAAGGAUUAAACUAAUUGUAAUUACUUUUACUUAUAUAUUUUAAAAAUAGAAAAGGAGAGAAAAUAGUUGAAUGUGCUUUCUAAGGGUUUAAUCUCUAGUAACUUAAAUCCAAAUUAAUAUUUUUAACAAAUUGUUAUGUCUUUGAAAUAGAGGGCUUAAUGUUGUAAGGCAGGUUUUCCUGUGUUCUCCAGAAAAUAAUUUGGCAAUAUAUAUUAAAGCCUUAACUACUAAUAAACUUCAGUUUAAUGACACUAUGCUCAUGGUGUCGUGUUCCAAAAAUGCGGAGUUAAUUGUGCUUGUCCUCUGCUUAACCUCUCCUUACCCUAGAAUUCAGAUACCCCUUAUCUGCCAUCCCCCACCCCCCACCCCGAAAAGCUUUGGAAAGAAGUAGUUACAUCCAAGCCUAGACUCAUGAGGCACACCCAGCACUCCAAAGUCAGGAACAAAGGUGGAAAAGCUGUUAUGUUUGUAUUUGGAAAUGUUAAACAUUCCCCCAAUGGAUUAGUCCUUUCAAGGUCUUAAUUUCCAUUAUAUCUUGGAGUUUUAGAGUCUGUUGCUUCAAAUAGAAUAUUAACUGAAAUCCCAAUGUGGGGGCAGUCUUGAAUGUUAUCUAAUUUUCUCAGUGCAAUUCCUGUAGUCCAAGGUGCUACAUAAGGUUGCUGUUGGUUUAUUUUAGCUAACCAGAAAAUCACAGGUAGACAUAGGUACAGUUUUCUGAUACUGUAAUAUGUGUACAAUUUUUAAACCUAGGUUUUAAGAAAAUUCAUUUUAGGUAGUUCCAGUAUAUGUAAUCUUUUCAGCUUGCCAUACCCCAAAAAACAAAAAUGUAAGGAGUUGGAAGAAUUAAGAAUUAAAGUCACUUUAAAUUUAAAUGAAGCUAUCUAGCAGGUUCUUUGUGGCAUGACUCAGUUCUCUUCAGAAAUCCUGUUAAAGUGACAAAGUCCAAUCUAAGGAUGCAGUUUAAGGAUAUACAAAAGCCAACUAAUAUAAUGCAGCAGGAAAUACAGUCCAGGAGAGCUUUGUGGGGCAGCUAUCUGAAAAGGUGACAUCUGUGUCUUGAAGGUUAUAACAAGCCAAUGGGAAGAGCAUUCCAAGUACAAAGAAAACAGCACUGGAAAACUCGAAGGAGGGCAUAAACAAGGCUCAUUAAAACAGCCACAAUUGCACAGGACACAGACAAUGCCUCACCUCAGCAAGAAUGAUUUAUGAUCUUAAGUAAUGGGAUAUUGUGCUCAAUUGUAGUGGCAGAUGGGAAGUAGAUUGAAGGGCUGAAACGAAUCAGAAGUAAUUUAGACUAGAUGACAGUAAUCCAGAAAAGGCAAAGUUAGUCAAUUUUGUGAAGCACGUGAAGUUUGUCUUGGGUCUAUCUGUACCAUUUUUCAAUAAAUGUUCCAUUCCCAAUAUCAGAUGCCCUGUUUUCUUGACCUGUCAAAAAAAAUUAAGAAACCUCAACUCUUGUACAUGAAAGCUUGAGUUGCCUUUUAUGUCUAAAAGUCAUGUAUCUGAAACUGAAAAGUCUUUUUUCCUGUUAAAGGAAUUACAAGAAUUUAACUAAAGGAUGGAGGAAAUCAAGAAGCCUUGGUCACUUUAUGCCUUUGUAAAUUCAGCCCUAAAAGUAAACUUUAAUCCUUUUAUAGUAACAACAAUUACCAUGAUUUCAAAAGUUUUCCUUAAAAGCUGUACCUUGCAUCCUGCAAAGGGUAAUACAAUACUGGCCCCACUGCAAGUUCCCGUCAGAAUAGUUUGUUCUCAGCUUCAGCUUUUCAUUCUUUGACAUAGGUCAAUCCAGCAACUUCUUUCUUCAGAAUAAAAUUUGCUUAUGCAAAACUGGACCUUUUCUCCCACUUCAUACCUCAAGCUUCAUAAUAAUCUCCAUUUUCUAGCAAUAGUAAUUGUUCAUUAUUUUGUGGCUUAUGUUUGUAUCUAUUUACCCUGUUUUGAAAUUCCUUAAUACAUCCCUGUCUCUCAUAUUUCUAUAAUAAGGCACAGAAUGUCUAUACCAAGAUCUGUAUACAUGCAUUCCCUUUGUACGUGGUAGGAUUAAGUGCUAUGUCACCGUUUCCCUAGUGGGGUAAAAUAGGUAUGACAUGCUAUUUUCAGAGAUUAAAAUGCUAAAGGGAAGCACUAUACAAGAAAUUAGCCAGUUUGAGGAAUUUUCCCAUAACCUAAUGUCGCAGAACCAGAUUAAGUUUACAGACUAAGCCAUAGUUACCCCCUUUGAAAGAGGGAAUGGAAAAGGUGUGCUGACUUAGAAAAAUAACAAUUUUAAAGCAAGGAAAAUGCCAUUCUUCAGCUUUCCCAUGCACAAAGUUGAUGUCUUUUCAUUUCAAUCUUUUGCAUACCUGCAGUAUUUUCGUGUAACAACUGUAAAAUACUCUUGCCCAGUACAAAAGUGUUUUCCGUAUCAUACUUCUUGCUAUCAUUGCACAGGCAAGCAACUCAUCUAUAGAUAGAUCAAACCUGAGGAAGUCCUUUCCCACUCUACAGCACUACGUAAUAUCAGGUCAGUGUCUAGUUCCAGUUUUCCUACUUUAAAAUAUACAAAUAUCUAUCACUUGAUCAAAUAGCAGAUUACACAGAAAAAUAAAAUUCUACAAAGUGGCAAAUGAAGUUUUGGAGAAAUUUGGGUUUAUUUUUUUAUUUUAUGGAAAUGUUGAAAUACAAUUCAAUUCUAUUUCAGUCUAGGUGCUGCACCCUGUACUAUGUCUGUUAGGGGACAGAAAGUUGACUGGGGUAUGAUUUGUGCCCUCCAGGAGUUCAUAGUUCAGUGUCAAAGUAAAAACUGAAGUGCCGUAUUAUUUAUUCAGAGUAAAUGUCAUAGUUUGUGGACCUCAUAUCAUUUGUUAAAUUAGAGGUUCAUGUAAAUCAACAGUGAUAUUGCCAUGUCAUGUGAAACUUUUUGCAGUUGCCCAGAGACAACUUUAAAUCACCAAAAAGCUUUAGCAUCAAAUAACAUUUGUAGAAACGGGAACUGCCAAAAAUGUUCUCUACCUUGAGCCUGUAAGGUGUCCCGUAAAAAAGAAACCAAUCUGAGAGAAGUUUACACAUUUUUUCAUACUCUUAAGUUUAUAGAUAAUGGAACUGAUUUGAAUCUAGACUAGAAUUUGUGUGUUAUAAAUUAUCUAUUGUAUCAUAAGCAACACAUUCAUCUUGACUGAUAAAAUCAGCUACCAUUCAGUGAACCAAGUUAAGAGUCACUCCGGUGCCUAAUGCCAAAAAUAAGUCUCUGAUAGAACUGAGAAAUAAAUAUUGAGUGAUGAUAAACAUGACACUUCAAUAGGGAAAGAAUUAGUCAACAAAUAGUAUUGAGAGCAUAACAUUUAGGAAAAAAUAAAUUUAGAUCUCUUACAAAAAUUAAUUCCAGCUAAAUUACCAGUGAAUCAUCUACUUUUGGAUCACAUACUCUUAGAAAUUGAAAGCUAUGAAAAUGCUUUCAUAAACAAAAGUUUUACAAUAGGUUAUGAAGAGAUGCUGAACCUUAGCAAAAUAAGGAAAACAUGAAAACCCAAGAAACCAGCAGAUCCAAUUGGCAUAUAUAUACAUUGUUGGUGAGUGCACAAGUAGGCACCACCGCUUUUAAAAGCAACUGGGUAAUAUCCAUUAAAAUUUAAAAUUCAUACACCUGUGACCCAACAAUUCCAAUUUUUAAUAUAUACCCUAAGGAAACACAUGUGAAUUCACAAGGUAGCUUGUACAAUAAUGUCAUUUGUACCUUUGCUUGUUAUAGUAUAAAAUUGGAAAAACAAAAUACUCAUCAAAAAGAUGUGAUAUACAUUAUAAAAUAUUAAGUAUCAAUGAAAACCCAUGAGUCCUACAUGUGCAGAAAUGGAACGAUGUCUAGGAUACAAUGUUUGUAAAAGGUUGGGGGGAUUGAAGGGCAAUACCUGUAAUACAUAUGAUACCAUUGAUGUUAAAAUAUGUGCCACACACAUGCACACACAAAUACUGUAUAGUAUACUUCUACAAGUACAUAUUCAUGUACCACAUAAAUAUAGAAAGAAGGUCUGGAAGAUACUAACCAAACUGUUAACAGUAGUUUGGUGGUAUGCAUUAGCUUUAAAUGUAAUGUUUGAUGUUUU